AGCGUUUACUUGGUGAUAUUCUGGGGUACAUUUGCGGAUGGUAUAUAUGGCCCCGAGAGUGAAGCACUAUCUC
rnacentral:tRNA from 1 species